rnacentral:lncRNA from 1 species
AGCCCCUCUUGUCCCUUAUCUCCCGUUAAGAACACCCUCUCUCAAAUUGUAUCUCACUUAUGGAGCUAAUAAGCACCCAGAGUCUGAUGCAUUGACGUCUGUAAAAGCUGAGAAUUGGUACGGUGAAAAGAUUCGUCACAAAGAUGCACCUUGCAUUUCCUUGGGAGUUUAGCUACGGACUCCUGGACGCAAUUCAGGUAAGCUCACAUGUGUCUAUCGCAAAGAUUUUUGACCAAAGAAAUUAAACUUUUCGUUGCUCUCUCGUAAUUAUAGAUAAAGAGCGUUUUCAGAUCCUGGCUCAGAAAUUAUAUUUAUUGUUAUUACACACAAAUUAGAAUGCAGCACAAUUUACUCAUCAUUACGAGUCUAGAAGAAUCAGUAUCCAUAUAGGUAUAUAUGUCAGGAAAUCCUUCUUGUAACUUGGGAAGGUGAAACAUGCUUUCCGUUCCUACAAUUUCAGGGAAGAUACACUUAAAACAGCUUCAAGGACCGCGCACUGCACUAAAAUAAAUGCUGCAUGGCCUUUUGUUAUUUUAUAAUUACAUACAUGAUACAUGCCUUUUUUAUUUUUCUGUAAAGCAGCAAAGUUCUACAACUAAACAUAGCUCCAAACAAGUAACUAAAAAGAAGUAACUGGAAGGUGAGAAUCCUAGAGAUCAACCACUACGCGCCAGAUGAUGAUACCACCUGGCCGGAUUUAUUAAAGCCAGGUGGUCACCCACCACAAUUCCUUUCUUUGUUCCUCUCUGGGUCAGGCUCAUCUCGAUCUAAGGCUCACCUGCUAAACGAAUUAAAGGAGUCUUUUGCGUUCCUUUAGUUAAUCUCCUACACACUCCUUUCCAACAUCUCUUGAUACCUCUUGAAGGACUCCAGCUUCUGCAUCCUUAUCUGCCUAUGAAACCUUCUUAUGAACACAUCAGCCACAUGGUCGAUCUCGUCCUCGAGGAUGAACUCUGAACCAUCCUCCUUGGAGUUCCUAACCAGAUCGAUCACCGAUCCAGUGGUGUCACCAAGUCCAUCAUCAUCAUCAUCCUCAUCAUCAAAUAGUGAGUGCGUAAGGUCUGGAUAAUCAUCAUCAUCAUCAUCGCAGUUUACUGCCUCAGUAUGUGUGGUGCUUGGCGUAGCCUCGUUUUCUCUUGCAUUAUAAAGCACUAUGGCCUUGCCGUAGUCCUCAGUGUUGGUGGGAGUUUCUUCACCUUUCUCUUGGCCCAUCAGUGCAUGGAUCUUAUGGUUGAUUGCACUCAUCAACAGCUUCUUGUGCCGAAGCAGUCCGAAUAUGAGGAGCCGGCUCUUCAUGGCACCAGUUUUGCUCUUCACGGCCAUAGACUUGGCCUUCACCACGUUGACAAUAACAGAGAACACCUGCUUGAGGAAGUUGGAAGCCUUGUUCUUCAUCUUUGCAGAACUGAGGUUGGAGAAUAUGCACAGAGCUGGAAGAGAUGAAGGGAGGGGAGUGUCCAAAAGAGGUUCAGAAUUUAAGUGCUCAGGCAUGAAAUAUGGCUCGGAAGAAAGAGAUGAAAAAAGUUGGCGGAGUUUUAGACACAGAACAGGCUCCAAGGAGUACUGCUAACUUGCUGAAUUUUUUGAGAAGGAAAAGGAUAUGUUCAUAGAAACUGGUAGUGGUUUACUGGUUUAGUAUGAAACAGGAAGAGGGAUGAUAUAUAGGUUAUUACAAACUACAGAGAUACAAAGAGGUGGUUGUUUUGGCAUGGAGGUUGUCCUGUGGGGAUCGAUGGGUAUUUAUAGAGGCGGGGAGGAAGGUGGUGUGCUACUUCUGCUCAUGUGAGUGGUGAUUAGACUUAGUGGGAAAGCUCUCAAAAGCUAGGAGUGGGCACGAAGAAAACGUAGUAAAGUUGAAAGGGUUAAAGAAAAGCAAGGACAGAACCGACAGAGCACGAGCACAACACGAGAAAGAAACCAAGCAGAUAAAGCAGUUUUGGUGGCCACUUGUGAUGGGUUAGAGUUUGGUUGGGGUUGGAGCCUUGGAUUAUUUGACCGCAUGACUACUGUUGGUUUCGGGCCAUUCGCUUAUUCUUCAGUGACUGAAGUAUCCCACAGAAAUUAACCCAACAGCUAACCAUGAGUUGGGAGCUCUGGAUGCUUUAUCCAUCCCAGUAGCCACAGCUAGCUUCUUUAGCCCUUCACUAUUUAGUAUUUUAAUGAUUUCUACAAACAGGAGUUUUUUACGAAACCGCCUCUUGUAAAGCAAGCCAAAAAAGGCUUAACGAGCUUUUUUUUCAGCUGUCAUCCUCACAUGCACGGCAUUUCCUUUGAACUCUUGGGCAUAAAGCAAGUUCGGAAGGAAUAUUUUUAAAUGAAAAGGCUGUAAAGCUUAUGGACUAUUAUUCCUUUCUUAGCUCAUAAACAUGGUCGAAAAUAAUAGAACUGGGUUUCCGUAAGGUUUGCAGCAAUGUAAAUUUUGUCCCUCUUGCUUGUCCCACUUAUUUUUUUUCUUUGUUUUCCUUUUUUUUUUUUUGAGUUCGAGAUUUUCUGUUAUCCAAAUGGAAGUUGAUUGACGUAUUUUUAUUGAUCUUGAUAGAUGCAAGAACCUUAUCUGGGUUGCAGUGUUGAAGUGAUCCAUUUAGCUUAACGUACGUGAUGGCUAGGCAGAAGGCAGCAACUGUUGCAACAUAUCUGGAGUAUAUUUGACUUGGAAUGUGAAUCGGAAUAGCAAUAUUUUCAAUGCAUUUAAUUCAUGAUCAAAAUCAAAAUCAAGAUCGAACUGGG